rnacentral:rRNA from 1 species
GAGUUUGAUCGUGGCUCAGAUUGAACGCUGGCGGCAGGCCUAACACAUGCAAGUCGAGCGGUAGAGAGAAGCUUGCUUCUCUUGAGAGCGGCGGACGGGUGAGUAAUGCCUAGGAAUCUGCCUGGUAGUGGGGGAUAACGCUCGGAAACGGACGCUAAUACCGCAUACGUCCUACGGGAGAAAGCAGGGGACCUUCGGGCCUUGCGCUAUCAGAUGAGCCUAGGUCGGAUUAGCUAGUUGGUGAGGUAAUGGCUCACCAAGGCGACGAUCCGUAACUGGUCUGAGAGGAUGAUCAGUCACACUGGAACUGAGACACGGUCCAGACUCCUACGGGAGGCAGCAGUGGGGAAUAUUGGACAAUGGGCGAAAGCCUGAUCCAGCCAUGCCGCGUGUGUGAAGAAGGUCUUCGGAUUGUAAAGCACUUUAAGUUGGGAGGAAGGGCAGUAAAUUAAUACUUUGCUGUUUUGACGUUACCGACAGAAUAAAGCACCGGCUAACUCUGUGCCAGCCG